GGACGGAAGGACUGCCUUCUGCUUCUUUGAAUGAAGAGAGGGGUCUUGUGCUCUAGAAGUCAAUGAACAAGCCAAUAGUGGAAAUGACUGUGAACUCAGAUUUGAUUCCUGGAUUAAGAAGUCAUGUCUUCUGGCCGAAGCAGACAAACCAAGUAAAGAAAGUGGAAGAUGAAUCAAUGGAUACAAGAAAAAACAUGGGGUUCAAAAAUGACUGCUUAGAAGUUGUUCCAUGGGUUCCAACUCAACUUCUGCAAACUCCGGAACAGCAAGGAUGUCAGAAACAGCAGUUUCAGAACAAAUGGAGGCUGAAGAAAUAGACUCGGUGAUGAUGGAGAUCGAAGAUGACAAUGUACAGGUCACCAGAGGUCAAGCAAAGGAAAUAGGUGGGAUUGAGGGGGGAGGUGAAACCUGGCAGCAACAGUAUUGUCUCACUCCACAGCUCCCUCAGAACGCAUCUACACCCAUCAUGUGGUCUUGCUAACAGACUCGUCUCUAGUGAGCCUGUGAUGCCUGGGGAGAGAUUGGACGAGAAGAGUAUUUUGGUGAGAUGGGUUCCUCCCUUACUGGUGUCAAAUAACUUUGGGAAGCUUUUUGUACAAGAAAUGUAGGUAGUAUGAAUUCUGAAUGCUUUCUGGAAUUGACAACUCUUGAGAUGUUCUCAGCUC